rnacentral:piRNA from 1 species
UGGCCUAGCUCCUCACUUAAGCCUGGUAUC